UACGUAGGGUGCGAGCGUUGUCCGGAAUUAUUGGGCGUAAAGAGCUUGUAGGCGGUUUGUCGCGUCUGCUGUGAAAAUCCGAGGCUCAACCUCGGACUUGCAGUGGGUAAGGGCAGACUAGAGUGUGGUAGGGGAGACUGGAAUUCCUGGUGUAGCGGUGAAAUGCGCAGAUAUCAGGAGGAACACCGAUGGCGAAGGCAGGUCUCUGGGCCACUACUGACGCUGAGAAGCGAAAGCAUGGGUAGCGAACAGGAUUA
rnacentral:rRNA from 1 species